GCCCGAUUAGCUAGUUGGUGAGGUAACGGCUCACCAAGGCAAUGAUCGGUAGCUGGUCUGAGAGGAUGAUCAGCCACACUGGAACUGAGACACGGUCCAGACUCCUACGGGAGGCAGCAGUGGGGAAUCUUGCGCAAUGGGCGAAAGCCUGACGCAGCGACGCCGCGUGGGGGAUGAAGCUUCUCGGAGUGUAAACCCCUUUCGACUGGGACGAAUGCCCGCAAGGGAGUGACGGUACCAGUAGAAGAAGCCCCGGCUAACUACGUGCCAGCAGCCGCGGUAAGACGUAGGGGGCCAGCGUUGUUCGGAAUUACUGGGUGUAAAGGGUUCGUAGGCGGUGUGGCAAGUCGGGAGUGAAAUCUCUGGGCUCAACUCAGAGGCUGCUUCCGAAACUGCUGUGCUUGAGUGUGGGAGAGGCGCGUGGAAUUGCAGGUGUAGCGGUGAAAUGCGUAGAUAUCUGCAGGAACACCCGUGGCGAAAGCGGCGCGCUGGACCACAACUGACGCUGAGGAACGAAAGCUAGGGGAGCA
rnacentral:rRNA from 1 species